GAUGAACGCUGGCGGCGUGCUUAACACAUGCAAGUCGAGCGAAUGGAUUAAGAGCUUGCUCUUAUGAAGUUAGCGGCGGACGGGUGAGUAACACGUGGGUAACCUGCCCAUAAGACUGGGAUAACUCCGGGAAACCGGGGCUAAUACCGGAUAACAUUUUGAACCGCAUGGUUCGAAAUUGAAAGGCGGCUUCGGCUGUCACUUAUGGAUGGACCGGCGUCGCAUUAGCUAGUUGGUGAGGUAACGGCUCACCAAGGCAACGAUGCGUAGCCGACCUGAGAGGGUGAUCGGCCACACUGGGACUGAGACACGGCCCAGACUCCUACGGGAGGCAGCAGUAGGGAAUCUUCCGCAAUGGACGAAAGUCUGACGGAGCAACGCCGCGUGAGUGGUGAAGGCUUUCGGGUCGUAAAACUCUGUUGUUAGGGAGGAACAAGUGCUAGUUGAAUAAGCUGGCACCUUGACGGUACCUAACCAGAAAGCCACGGCUAACUACGUGCCAGCCGCCGCUGUAA
rnacentral:rRNA from 1 species